GAUGAACGCUAGCUACAGGCUUAACACAUGCAAGUCGAGGGAAACGAUAGAGAAAGCUUGCUUUUUCUAGGCGUCGACCGGCGCACGGGUGAGUAACGCGUAUCCAACCUGCCCACCACUUGGGGAUAACCUUGCGAAAGUAAGACUAAUACCCAAUGACGUCUCUAGAAGACAUCUGAAAGGGAUUAAAGAUUUAUCGGUGAUGGAUGGGGAUGCGUCUGAUUAGCUUGUUGGCGGGUAACGGCCCACCAAGGCAACGAUCAGUAGGGGUUCUGAGAGGAAGGUCCCCCACAUUGGAACUGAGACACGGUCCAAACUCCUACGGGAGGCAGCAGUGAGGAAUAUUGGUCAAUGGGCGAGAGCCUGAACCAGCCAAGUAGCGUGCAGGAUGACGGCCCUAUGGGUUGUAAACUGCUUUUAUAAGGGAAUAAAGUGAGCCUCGUGAGGCUUUUUGCAUGUACCUUAUGAAUAAGGACCGGCUAAUUCCGUG
rnacentral:rRNA from 1 species